UUAAAUGACUUUCCUUAUAAAUUUCUUGGCCCGUGAGUUAUAAAUUCUCGGAGAGCAAACAACAUCCAUGCAUAUCUGCACUAUCGCAAACAUGAAGACUUCAUCCCCUCUCCUCGUCCUCCUUGUGUUUAUCUUCCUCGCUUCUAGUACUCCGGGGAAUGUAGCUCAAAGCGACUGCCUCAUCAUACACCCCUUACCGAAUUGCAGUCAUUCUUCAUGCAACUCCUACUGCUUUUUUAAACUUGUUGGUAUUCAACAUCUUGGCAGAUGUCUCGCCAACGGAAACUGUUGUUGUUAUUGAUUGAAGAAAAUGUUUUGAUGUUCAAAUAAGAAUUAAUAAAAGAGAUGGACUGGGCAAUAAUAUAAUUCGAAAAAAUAGAUUUCUUCAUAGCUCAUUCUGAAUCAAAGAAAA